rnacentral:rRNA from 1 species
UACAGAGGUCUCAAGCGUUGUUCGGAUUCAUUGGGCGUAAAGGGUGUGUAGGUGGCGCGCUACGUCCGGUGUGAAAUUUCGGAGCUUAACUCCGAAACUGCAUUCGAUACUGGCGUGCUUGAGGACUGGAGAGGAGACUGGAAUUUACGGUGUAGCAGUGAAAUGCGUAGAGAUCGUAAGGAAGACCAGUGGCGAAGGCGGGUCUCUGGACAGUUCCUGACACUGAGGCACGAAGGCCAGGGGAGCAAACGGG